AGAGUUUGAUCCUGGCUCAGGAUGAACGCUAGCGGCACGCUUCAUACAUGCAAGUCGAGGGGCAGCAUAAAUUACUUGUAAUUUGAUGGCGACCGGCGAACGGGUGCGUAACGCGUAUGCAACUUACCUUUUACUAGAGAAUAGCCAAGAGAAAUUUUGAUUAAUGCUCUAUACUCUUAUUAACUCACAUGAGUUUUUAAGAAAAGCUCCGGCGGUAAAAGAUGGGCAUGCGUCCUAUUAGCUUGUAGGUGAGGUAACGGCUCGCCUAAGCUCCGAUAGGUAGGGGUCCUGAGAGGGAGAUCCCCCACACUGGUACUGAGACACGGACCAGACUUCUACGGAAGGCAGCAGUAAGGAAUAUUGGACAAUGGAGGAAACUCUGAUCCAGCGAUGCCGCGUGAAGGAAGACGGCCCUAUGGGUUGUAAACUUCUUUUAUACAGGAAUAAACCUAUCCACGUGUGGAUAGCUGAAGGUACUGUAAGAAUAAGGAUCGGCUAACUCCGUGCCAGCCGCCGCGGUAAUUC
rnacentral:rRNA from 1 species